GAUGAACGCUGGCGGCGUGCCUAACACAUGCAAGUCGAGCGAACGGACGAUAAGCGCGCGUUCCUGAGGUUAGCGGCGGACGGGUGAGUAACACGUGGAUAGCCUUCCUAUUAUUCUUGGAUAACAUCGGGAAGCCGGAGCUAAUAAUAGAUCAUAUGUUGUACGGGAUGGUUCAGGAGUUAAUGACGGUUUUGCUGUUUCUUAGAGCUGGUGCCGGGCUGGAUUAGCUAGUUGGUAAGGUAACGGCCUACCAAGGCGACGAUGCAUAGCCGACCUGAGAGGGUGAUCGGCCACACUGGAACUGAGACACGGUCCAGACUCCUACGGGAGGCAGCAGUGGGGAAUCUUGCGCAAUGGGCGCAAGCCUGACCGAGCCACGCCGCGUGGGUGAAGAAGGUCUUCGGGUCGUAAAGCUCUGUUAUUGGGGAAGAAAAUCUGUGGAAGUAACCGUGGCCGUCUUGACGGUACCCAAAGAGAAAGCCACGGCUAACUACGUG
rnacentral:rRNA from 1 species